AGGCUUACACAUGCAAGUCGAGCGGAGAUGAGGUGCUUGCACCUUAUCUUAGCGGCGGACGGGUGAGUAAUGCUUAGGAAUCUGCCUAUUAGUGGGGGACAACAUUCCGAAAGGAAUGCUAAUACCGCAUACGUCCUACGGGAGAAAGCAGGGGACCUUCGGGCCUUGCGCUAAUAGAUGAGCCUAAGUCGGAUUAGCUAGUUGGUGGGGUAAAGGCCUACCAAGGCGACGAUCUGUAGCGGGUCUGAGAGGAUGAUCCGCCACACUGGGACUGAGACACGGCCCAGACUCCUACGGGAGGCAGCAGUGGGGAAUAUUGGACAAUGGGCGGAAGCCUGAUCCAGCCAUGCCGCGUGUGUGAAGAAGGCCUUUUGGUUGUAAAGCACUUUAAGCGAGGAGGAGGCUACUAGUACUAAUACUACUGGAUAGUGGACGUUACUCGCAGAAUAAGCACCGGCUAACUCUGUGCCAGCAGCCGCGGUAAUACAGAGGGUGCGAGCGUUAAUCGGAUUUACUGGGCGUAAAGCGUGCGUAGGCGGCUGAUUAAGUCGGAUGUGAAAUCCCUGAGCUUAACUUAGGAAUUGCAUUCGAUACUGGUCAGCUAGAGUAUGGGAGAGGAUGGUAGAAUUCCAGGUGUAGCGGUGAAAUGCGUAGAGAUCUGGAGGAAUACCGAUGGCGAAGGCAGCCAUCUGGCCUAAUACUGACGCUGAGGUACGAAAGCAUGGGGAGCAAACA
rnacentral:rRNA from 1 species